rnacentral:rRNA from 1 species
AUUGAACGCUGGCGGCAUGCUUUACACAUGCAAGUCGAACGGCAGCGCGGGCUUCGGCCUGGCGGCGAGUGGCGAACGGGUGAGUAAUACAUCGGAACGUGCCCAGUAGUGGGGGAUAGCUCGGCGAAAGCCGGAUUAAUACCGCAUACGACCUGAGGGUGAAAGCGGGGGAUCUUGGGACCUCGCGCUUUUUGAGCGGCCGAUGGCAGAUUAGCUAGUUGGUGGGGUAAAGGCCUACCAAGGCGACGAUCGGUAGCUGGUCUGAGAGGACGACCAGCCACAUUGGGAGUGAGCCACGGCCGAGACUCCUGCGGGAGGCAGCAGUGGGGAAUUUUGGACAAUGGGGGAGAGCCUGAUCCAGCAAUGCCGCGUGUGUGAUGAAGGCCUUCGGGUUGUAAGGCACUUUUGGCGGGAACGAAAAGGACUGUGCCAAUACCACGGUUCGAUGACGGUACCCGCAGAAUAAGCACCGGCUAACUACGUG